rnacentral:rRNA from 1 species
GACGAACGCUGGCGGCGUGCUUAACACAUGCAAGUCGAACGGAAAGGCCCUGCUUUUGUGGGGUGCUCGAGUGGCGAACGCGCGAGUAACACGUGAGUAACCUGUCCCUGACUUUGGGAUAACUUUAGGAAACUGGGGCUAAUACCGGAUAGGAGCUACUGCUGCAUGGUGGGGGUUGGAAAGUUUCGGCGGUUGGGGAUGGACUGGCAGCUUAUCAGCUUGUUGGUGGGGUAGUGGCUUACCAAGGCUUCGACGGCUAGCCGGCCUGGGAGGGUGACCAGCGACAAUACGACUGAGAGACGGCGCAGACUCGUACGUGAGGCAACGGGGGAGAGUAUGACAGAGUAGGCGGAAGCCUGAGAUGAAAGCGCCGCGAGCGGGAUAACGUGCUACUAGUUGUGAACCAAUGUGGCCUGUGACGAGGCGGGAGUGACGGUAAUGAAUAAAGAAGCAACGGCUAACUACGUG